rnacentral:rRNA from 1 species
UACGGGGGAUGCAAGCGUUAUCCGGAAUCAUUGGGCGUAAAGCGCCUGUAGGUUGUUUAGUAAGUCUGUUGUUAAAGACUGGGGCUUAACCCCAGAAAAGCAAUGGAAACUGCUAGACUAGAGUAUGGCAGGGGUAGAGGGAAUUUCUAGUGUAGCGGUGAAAUGCGUAGAUAUUAGAAAGAACACCGGUGGCGAAAGCGCUCUACUGGACCAUUACUGACACUCAGGGGCGAAAGCUAGGGUAGCAAAAGGGAUUAGAUACCCCUGUAGUCCUAGCCGUAAACGAUGGAUACUAGAUGUUGUAUUUAUUUUACAGUGUCCUAGCUAACGCGUUAAGUAUCCCGCCUGGGGAGUACGCUCGCAAGGGUG